UACGGAGGGGGCUAGCGUUGUUCGGAAUUACUGGGCGUAAAGCGCACGUAGGCGGCUUUGUAAGUUAGAGGUGAAAGCCCGGGGCUCAACCCCGGAAAUGCCUUUAAGACUGCAUCGCUUGAAUCCAGGAGAGGUGAGUGGAAUUCCGAGUGUAGAGGUGAAAUUCGUAGAUAUUCGGAAGAACACCAGUGGCGAAGGCGGCUCACUGGACUGGUAUUGACGCUGAGGUGCGAAAGCGUGGGGAGCAAACAGG
rnacentral:rRNA from 1 species